CAGAGGUCCCAAGCGUUGUUCGGAUUCACUGGGCAUAAAGGGUGCGUAGGUGGUGGGGUAAGUUUGAUGUGAAAGCUCCGAGCUUAACUCGGAAAUGGCAUUGAAUACUAUCCUGCUUGAGGGUUGGAGGGGGGACUGGAAUUCUCGGUGUAGCAGUGAAAUGCGUAGAUAUCGAGAGGAACGCCAGUGGCGAAGGCGAGUCCCUGGACAACUCCUGACACUGAGGCACGAAAGCUAGGGGAGCAAACAGGAUUAGAUACCCUGGUAAUCCUAGCCGUAAACGGUGCACGUUUGCUGUAAAAGGAAUCGACCCCUUUUGUGGCGUAGCCAACGCGUUAAACGUGCCGCCUGGGAAGUACGGUCGCAAGAUUA
rnacentral:rRNA from 1 species